CCUACGGGUGGCAGCAGUGGGGAAUAUUGCACAAUGGGCGCAAGCCUGAUGCAGCCAUGCCGCGUGUGUGAAGAAGGCCUUCGGGUUGUAAAGCACUUUCAGCGGGGAGGAAGGCGGUGAGGUUAAUAACCUCAUCGAUUGACGUUACCCGCAGAAGAAGCACCGGCUAACUCCGUGCCAGCAGCCGCGGUAAUACGGAGGGUGCAAGCGUUAAUCGGAAUUACUGGGCGUAAAGCGCACGCAGGCGGUCUGUCAAGUCGGAUGUGAAAUCCCCGGGCUCAACCUGGGAACUGCAUUCGAAACGGGCAGGCUAGAGUCUUGUAGAGGGGGGUAGAAUUCCAGGUGUAGCGGUGAAAUGCGUAGAGAUCUGGAGGAAUACCGGUGGCGAAGGCGGCCCCCUGGACAAAGACUGACGCUCAGGUGCGAAAGCGUGGGGAGCAAACAGGAUUAGAUACCCCUGUAGUC
rnacentral:rRNA from 1 species